GAUGAAGAACGUAGCGAAAUGCGAUAAGUAAUGUGAAUUGCAGAAUUCAGUGAAUCAUCGAAUCUUUGAACGCACAUUGCGCCCGCCAGUAUUCUGGCGGGCAUGCCUGUUCGAGCGUCAUUACAACCCUCAGGCCCCCGGGCCUGGCGUUGGGGAUCGGCGGAAGCCCCCUGCGGGCACAACGCCGUCCCCCAAAUACAGUGGCGGUCCCGACGCAGCUUCCAUUGCGUAGUAGCUAACACCUCGCAACUGGAGAGCGGCGCGGCCACGCCGUAAAACACCCAACUUCUGAAUGUUGACCUCGAAUCAGGUAGGAAUACCCGCUGAACUUAAGCAUAUCAAUAAGCGGAGGA
rnacentral:misc_RNA from 1 species